GCAUAAUAAAUAGUUUUUUAAUUGGAAACUGGAAUGAAGGGUUAAAACUAAGAAGAAAGUUUUAUUUAAUAAAAUUUGAAUUUAAAUUAAAAGUAAAAAUGCUUUUAUAAAAUUUUGGGACGAGAAGACCCUAGAAGCUUAAAAUUAUAUAUAUUUUUUAUUGGGGUAAUAUUUGAAGAUAAAAAUUUUUAAUUUAUUAAAGUAUUUAAAAUAAAGUUACUCUAGGGAUAACAGCAUUAUUUAAUUAACAAGUUCUUAUUAAUAAUUAAGUUUGUGACCUCGAUGUUGAAUUAAAUUUUAUUUAUGGUGAAGGAGCUUUAAAGGGUAGUCUGUUCGACUAUUAAAAACUUACAUGAUUU
rnacentral:rRNA from 1 species